GCUCCCAGGGACACCACGCGCCGCCAUUUUGCUGAGGGGGAAGGAGGAGGAGGAGGCGACGGGAGCGAAGGGGGGGACAGGGCGCUCGGGCGCCGCUCGGCAGUUUCCGACCAGGCAGGAGGACGCGAAGGUGGCCGAGUCCCUCCUCCUCCCUUUUCCCUCUCGCCCCGCCUUCCCACCGCGGUUCCGAGCGGCGGGAUGGCGAGCGGGGAGGAGGAGGCAAGGGGGCGGGAGCGUAAAAUGGCGGCGGUGGCGGUUGGGCGCGCGCCCGGGGAAGGGCGGGAAGCGCCUCUCCCUGCCCUGUCCCUGCCUUCUCCCUGCCUCCCGCGGCCGGGAAUCACCGCUAGGAACGCGCGCACGCCGCCGCUCUGACAGCGGCGGGGGAGCGGUUUCUCCUGCCCGCCCCUUCCCUCGGUGCCUGGAGCCGCGCUCGCCGGGCUGCCUCGGGGACCUCCCGCCUGAAGAGAGCGCUUAGCACACUAAGCCAAGCUCUGUGGCGAGGUAGCUCCCAACUUCCAGGCGCGUUUCCAGGUCUUUUGGGUGGUUUCUUGGCGUUUUCCGCCGUCGGGGCGCGGGACGGAAGAGCCGCCAUCUCCUUCCCGCCCAGCGCGGCUGAGGAGAGCGGGGGUACCUGUGGGCGCCGCCGACCCGGACCCCGAGAAUGGGCGUUUGGAGGGCUACGGUAGCCUGAGAAUUCAUAAUGGAAGAAUAAAAGGAGUCCAGAACAUUGCAAUUAUGUUCUGCUCCUGCUUGAAUUAAUGAACACCUUUCUCUUCUACAGAACCAAUUUCAAAGCUUGAUGUCCAUCUAAAGGCCCUGCAGUAACUUCUACAGCAGACUCAAAGAGAACUGCCAGAACAUUUUCAGAGAUGGUUUUCCUGAGGAACCAGCUGUUUGAUCUGAGUGCAGCCACACGCAAACACCGGAGUCAGCAGAAGGGACCUUCUGGAGCAUGGUGUCACAUGCCAAGCUCAAGGAGUACAGCAGAAGAACACGGGUGACCUUGAAUCACUCUUGCUUUUGAGCAGAACGAAAUAUUGAAAGUCUGAUUCCUUUUACUGCACACUUUUUUUUUUUUUUUUUUUUUAACUAGAGACUAAAUUGAAUUAUUUUAAAUUAAAUUAAAUGUUAGCUUCCAAGCUGAAGACAAGACCUGUCAGUGGCCUGUUUACAGAGAUCAUCAGCCUCCUGCUCUUGCAUGCUUUGUUCUUCCCCUUGACCUUGAUUCUCUCUGUGUGCCAUCCCAGCCAAGGUUGUUUUAUCCCCAGGAGGCCUCUUCCCCUCCCCUGGCUGCAUUGCUCCUCAUCUGGGAAUAUUUGCUCUGGUAAAGUGCCAGCACAGUUCUGCUAGAGAACAACUUCUUCGUAUUUAGAUAAAUGCAAGACUUAGGCAAAAACUAAAAUUUUUUAUCCAAGUUGGGACUGGAUUAAGAGCAAGAUCAUGAAUUUUCAAAAUUCACGUUCCAACGUUGAGCUAGCAGCUUAACUGGAGUCCAAUUAAAUCUCUCUCCAGUUAAACCUCAUUUCUGGAAUGCUGCUGGAAGCCACGAGCAACAGAGUCAGUUUUAAGUUUACCCACAUUUAAGUUUCAGCAUUUGACUUUUAUUGCUCUUUUAGCAUUCUAAACUUUUUAAUAGGGUCCAUAUGUCUAACUAGGCUUUGGUGUCACGGCACCCCAAGAAGACAAAUCCAAACUGAUUUACCCCAAAGAAUACAGAAUAAUCAAAAUUUGGCCACAAAUAUCAUAUAAUACAGACAAGGCAUUUCUGAGCAUGAGAGACUGCCACCAGAAACUGAACCACUACCAAAGUGGUGCAGGCAGCUUCUCUUGUACAUUUGGACCUCUUUCAGACUUUUAGUGGUGAAACACACAUUUGCAGUGUUGCUUUGGAGAACUUUGCCUGUCUGGUUAGCAAUGUCCCUGUUACAAUAACCAGCAGUGGUGUACAAAAUGGGCUGGAGCCUGCUCUCCAACACAGGAGGGGAAAUUUUAACUCCCCUCCCCACUCCAGUUGUUAAAUUGGCCCAUUCUUUUGAUAAUCUUUGCUGAAAUCACAAGAUCCACAAAAGAUUGCAGACUCCAAGGCUCAGGAAAAGCUGAGAAUAUUGAAAAGGAUUUAAGAUUUGAAAGGUGCUCACAACCAAAAAAACAGCCCCCCCCAAAAAUACUCAUUUGAGACUGGGAAUCGAUUACCCAAGAAAACACCUAGGAAGAAGUGCUGGAUGACUCUUAUUUACAAGUAAAUAAAAAAUGAAAAUCC